AGCAGCCGCGGUAAUUCCAGCUCCAAUAGCGUAUAUUAAAGUUGUUGCAGUUAAAAAGCUCGUAGUUGAAUUUCGGGAUCAAUAUGUUGGUCGUGCCUUGGUACGUACUGGCAUUAUCGAUUCCUACCUUCUGAAGAACCUCGAUGUCAUUAAUUUGGUGUCUUGGGGAAUCAGGACUGUUACUUUGAAAAAAUUAGAGUGUUUAAAGCAGGCUCGCGCUUGAAUACAUUAGCAUGGAAUAAUGAAAUAGGACGUUUGAUUCUAUUUUGUUGGUUUCUAGGAUCGACGUAAUGAUUAAUAGGGAUAGUUGGGGGCAUUAGUAUUCAAUUGUCAGAGGUGAAAUUCUUGGAUUUAUUGAAGACUAACUACUGCGAAAGCAUUUGCCAAGGAUGUUUUCAUUAAUCAAGAACGAAAGUUAGGGGAUCGAAGACGAUCAGAUACCGUCGUAGUCUUAACCAUAAACUAUGCCGACUAGGGAUCGGAUGAUGUUAAUUUUUAAUGUACUCAUUCGGCGCCUUAC
rnacentral:rRNA from 1 species